rnacentral:lncRNA from 1 species
AUGGACAGCACUUGGCAGUUGGUGAUAGUUGGAUGCUGCCAGGAAGUAAGUCAAGUAAAGAGAAGCAAGAUAUUCUGGAUAAGACUAUCUUUAAUUUUGUCAAAAUUUGACCAACUGGUCAACCAAAGAGAAUCAGCACAAAAUGGCUACAUAUGCUCCAAAGUCUAUGGGACUAUUGCAAUAGCUAAAUAUCCUGUGAAGCCUCAAGAAUACUGGUCUCUUCACCAUUAUAUCAAUAUAAUACAACCUGUGGAAUUUUGAAUACCAGAUUUUGGAUGCCAACUCUCUCAAUUUAUCCAAAACUAUGCCUUUUCAUAAUAUUCUUACCACUACUGAUAGAUAAUAAUAUAUUCUGCUCUCCAGAUGUGUAUAUGUAACCUCCCUAUAGAUAUAGAAAAAUAGUCUCAGAAUAAAGAACAAAAACACUGAAUACUUAUCUAUUAA